ACGCAACCUCCCCCAUCUCUCACGUCCCAGCGGCGGCGGCUCCCACCUCACGCCCUCAUCUUCUUCCUCACCCGAUCCGGCUGGUUCAUCUAAGGCGUCAACCCGUGGUGGAAGCAGGCGGAAGCACCUCAACCGCGGAGGCUCGACGGCCAGAGCGACGGCGGCCGGCGCGGCCUGGAGGCUUGGGUGUUGUCGCCAUGUCGGCCCUCCCAAAGGGCGUGAUGCGCCGCCCCUCGUCUCUCACCUCCAGUAGAUCAAAGGCCAUCACGGCGGCAGUCUGGACUAAGGUACGCGAUUCCCAUUUUCUUGUUGUAUUUUUCUCCCUUUUCUCUAUUGUCAUCGAUUGAUGGACCUAUCCCCUGCUCCUCCCCUUGCGCCUGAGAAGAAGGAGCGGAGAUGCCGUCUGCCGACGCGGCAGCGGAAUGAGGAGGUGCAGGAGAGCAGCGAGGAGGAGGAGGGAGGGGCGAAGCAGAGGGAGGAGGAUCAGGUCCAGCCGCGCAGAAGAGCACUGCGGGGAAGGUGGGCGAUGGGGAUCGGAGCUCGCGGUGCGCAGGGGAUUUAGGCACGCAAGGCCAAGCAAGGCGGCCAACGAGCAGCAUCCCUACAGUGGCGAGAUCCGCGAGAGGAGGCCUUCAGCUGCGAGCGACCAGGGGAGAUGCCGCCAGUUUACGUCUCGUCGAGGGGCUGGACGCUCGCGGGGGAUCACCAGGGGUAGUGCUGGGGCAGACGGAGCGAUGCCAGCCUGACCGAGCUAGACGACACGAGGCAACAGCGAUGGUGGAUCUUCCUGCUGCCCUACAUCGUCCCUUCAAAUCCCAGACAGUGGUGAGAAGGAUGGUGCCUGCUUGAAGGAAGGAGCCACAGAGAUCGGCAUGUUCUAUAGGGCCCAAAGUACCAGGAUAUUCUAAACAUCCGAGUGAGUGAUUGGUACUAAUCGGCGUGGUCAAGCUCUAGAAGUUGAUGCUCAAAAAAGCUAUUAUGCAGGUCUUUGAAGCACUUUACGAAUAGACAACAAAAGUUCACCGGCGAGAUUUUGAAAACUCGUGUCUCGCUUGAUAUGCUUGGACGCAUUUUUUAGUGGUUCUGCAAAACCUAUUGAUAAUUUUGCGUGAGGCAUAAUUGGACAUCUCUGGAAGUUCCAGUAAUCCAAGUGAGAGAACCUACCCUUAGGAGAUGAUGGAAAGAAGAAUAUCUAAUAUUGAUGUCGUGAACUCCAUUGAUCGAGGGCAAAUGAUUCCUUUCUUUUCCUACUGGGCUUCCUGGUAAUGAAAUUGUUGCUCAGAUUUGUUGUCUUCUGGUCUUCCCAAGAAUUUGGAGAAAGGCAAGCACAAAGAGCCUCCAAAGCUCACAAAGUUUGAAGAGAGGCGAAGGUGAAGAUGCUCACAAGGGGCGCGGGAGCGUGUGGCGAAGACAAACAAAGGGUGCCGAUUCAUCCCAGUGAUGCUGAUAUCAAACCCAUUAGAUGCCACCGCACAGACAAAAAUGACAUGCUGCAAGCGGCACAUAUAAUGUGUUCGCCAAUGUUCAAGAAAGCAUGUGGAAAGCCAAAAGGUGACACCGACCAUUGCAGAGUAGAGCCAUGGUUGUUUCUGGUGGUGUAUUGUUACACAGCCAGGUCGUGGCUUGACAACAUCCACAAACUACACCCAUGGGCUCUCAUUCUUAAUUGUUAGUCCUUAUAUGUAAUAGGAAGUGGCGGUCUGACUCAUCUCACUAGAAUAGCCAUUUACUUCAAAAUUGCAAAUCAAUCUUUACACUGCAAUUUUAGGUGGUGCAACUUUGAAGUUCAAAUUUUGAGGUCAGGCAUGUUCUCUAUCAAAUUUGACAUGCACCUGCUGGUUGUGUUUUGUGGAACUGAAAUAUAAAAUUGGAUUUUCAA